UACGGAGGGUGCGAGCGUUGUCCGGAUUUAUUGGGUUUAAAGGGUGCGUAGGUGGGUCUGUAAGUCAGUGGUGAAAUCUCCGAGCUUAACUCGGAAACUGCCAUUGAUACUAUAGGUCUUGAAUUAUCUGGAGGUAAGCGGAAUAUGUCAUGUAGCGGUGAAAUGCUUAGAUAUGACAUAGAACACCAAUUGCGAAGGCAGCUUACUACGGAUUGAUUGACACUGAGGCACGAAAGCGUGGGGAUCAAACAGG
rnacentral:rRNA from 1 species